AGUGAACGCUGGCGGUAGGCCUAACACAUGCAAGUCGAACGGCAGCACAGUAAGAGCUUGCUCUUACGGGUGGCGAGUGGCGGACGGGUGAGGAAUACAUCGGAAUCUACUUUUUCGUGGGGGAUAACGUAGGGAAACUAACGCUAAUACCGCAAACGACCUACGGGUGAAAGCAGGGGAUCUUCGGACCUUGCGCGAUUGAAUGAGCCGAUGUCGGAUUAGCUAGUUGGCGGGGUAAAGGCCCACCAAGGCGACGAUCCGUAGCUGGUCUGAGAGGAUGAUCAGCCACACUGGAACUGAGACACGGUCCAGACUCCUACGGGAGGCAGCAGUGGGGAAUAUUGGACAAUGGGCGCAAGCCUGAUCCAGCCAUACCGCGUGGGUGAAGAAGGCCUUCGGGUUGUAAAGCCCUUUUGUUGGGAAAGAAAAGCAGCAGGUUAAUACCCCGCUGUUCUGACGGUACCCAAAGAAUAAGCACCGGCUAACUUCGUG
rnacentral:rRNA from 1 species